AUGGACUGCAGUUUCAUUUUUUAUGGGUUCUUGAGAUAUGUUAUUUGCAGGGAGCAUCCUGAUUUCUACAGUUGCAAUUGUUUUGUUCAUUUCCUUUUUGCCUUCUUGAUUGGCUCAAACAUGCUCAUUGUGAAAGGGCGAGGAGCCGCCGCCAUGUUUCUCCCCGAGCUCCGUGGUAGAAUGGUCUAUUUGUAUCAGAUUGUGUUUAGUGGAUGCGAAGAGCUCAGUUCUGGUAAGCUAGACCCUGAGGCGUGCAACAUGUAUGUGGAGAUUAAGGAACGUGCCCAUGUGAGUGGCUUCGAUUUUGUUGUGCCAAGAUCUCCGGUGGCAGGGAUUCACUUCUUUUUUUGGUGA
rnacentral:rRNA from 1 species